UACGUAGGGUGCGAGCGUUUAAUCGGAAUUACUGGGCGUAAAGCGUGCGCAGGCGGUUUGUUAAGACAAGUAUGAAAUCCCCGGGCUUAACCUGGGAACUGCAUUUGUGACUGGCAAGCUAGAGUAUGGCAGAGGGGGGUAGAAUUCCACGUGUAGCAGUGAAAUGCGUAGAGAUGUGGAGGAAUACCGAUGGCGAAGGCAGCCCCCUGGGCCAAUACUGACGCUCAUGCACGAAAGGCGUGGGGAGCAAACAGG
rnacentral:rRNA from 1 species